GUAACCCGGUGAACUGAAACAUCUAAGUAACCGGAGGAAGAGAAAACAAUAGUGAUUCCGUUAGUAGUGGCGAGCGAACGCGGAAUAGCCCAAACCAGUGUUGUUACGGCAAUACUGGGGUUGUAGGACCACAAUAUUUGAUGCUAAUUGAAUUAGAACUGUUUGGAAAGACAGACCGAAGAGGGUGAUAGUCCCGUAUAAGUAAGAGCAGUUAUUGAUAGUGGUAUCCUGAGUAGUGCGGGACACGAGUAAUCCUGUAUGAAUCCACCGGGACCAUCCGGUAAGGCUAAAUACUCCUGAGAGACCGAUAGUGAACUAGUACCGUGAGGGAAAGGUGAAAAGAACCCUAAGUAAGGGAGUGAAAGAGAUCCUGAAACCGUACGCCUACAAGCGGUCGGAGCCACGCAUUGCGUGGUGACGGCGUGCCUUUUGCAUAAUGAGCCUACGAGUUACUGUUUCUAGCAAGGUUAAGUAUUUAAGAUACGGAGCCGUAGCGAAAGCGAGUCUGAAUAGGGCGAUUUAGUUAGUAGUAGUAGACGCGAAACCGAGUGAUCUACCCAUGGGCAGGUUGAAGCUGUAGUAACAUACAGUGGAGGACCGAACCAGUUGACGUUGAAAAGUCUUUGGAUGACCUGUGGGUAGGGGUGAAAGGCCAAUCAAACUCGGAAAUAGCUCGUACUCCCCGAAAUGCAUUUAGGUGCAGCGUUGAGUAAAAGUUUUAUAGAGGUAGAGCUACUGAUUGGAUGCGGGGGCUUCACCGCCUACCAAUUCCUGAC
rnacentral:rRNA from 1 species